rnacentral:rRNA from 1 species
GACGAACGCUGGCGGCGUGCUUAACACAUGCAAGUCGAACGGAAAGGCCCUGCUUUUGUGGGGUGCUCGAGUGGCGAACGGGUGAGUAACACGUGAGUAACCUGCCCUUGACUUUGGGAUAACUGCAGGAAACUGGGGCUAAUACCGGAUAGGAGCUCCUGCUGCAUGGUGGGGGUUGGAAAGUUUCGGCGGUUGGGGUUGGACUCGGGGCUUAUCAGCUUGUGGGUGGGGUAGUGGCUUACCAAGGCUUUGACGGGUAGCCGGGCUGAGAGGGUGACCGGCCACACUGGGACUGAGACACGGCCGAGAGUACUACGGGAGGCGGGGGUGGGGAAGUUUGGACAAUGGGGGGAAGCCUGAUCCAGCAAGGCGGGGUGUGUGAAGAAGGCCUUCUGGUGGUAAAGCACUGUUGUCCUGAAAGAAAUCCUUGGCCCUAAUACGGUCGGGGGAUGACGGUACCGGAAGAAUAAGCACCGGCUAACUACGUG